AGUGAACGCUGGCGGUAGGCCUAACACAUGCAAGUCGAACGGCAGCACAGUAAUAGCUUGCUCUUACGGGUGGCGACUGGCGGACGAGAGGGGAAUACAUCGGAAUCUACUUUUUCGUGGGGGCUAACGAAGGGAAACUUACGCUAAUACCGCAUACGACCUACGGGUGAAAGCAUGGGAACUUUUGACCUUGCGCGAUUGAAUGAGCCGAUGUCGGAUUAGUUGGUUGGCGGGGUAAAGGCCAACCAAGGCGACGAUCCGUAGCUGGUCUGAGAGGAUGAUCAGCGACACUGGAGCUGAAACACGGUCCAGGCUACUAAGGGACGGAGCAGAGGGGAAUAGUGGACAGUGGGCGGAAACCUGGUCCAGUCAGACCGAGUGUGUGGAGGAGGCCUUCGGGUUGUGAAGACCUUUUUUUGGGUAAGAAAAGCAGCAGGUUAAUACCCCGCUGUUCUGACGGUACCCAAAGAAUAAGCACCGGCUAACUUCGUG
rnacentral:rRNA from 1 species